GGUUUCGUUCAGCCACCCGCGAUUUUUGACCGUACGAUCUUCCCUGCGAUCGCCCCUCCCACCCAUCGCUCGUCCGCUUGUUUCGUCCGCCCCCACGCCUCUCGCCGGUUACUGCUCGCACGCGCGCCCCUCCCGUGCCGCCCCGCGCUCGGCGCCGCCGCUCUCGCCCCGCGCUUCGCCGGCCCGAGCGCCCCUCCUUCACCAGUCCGGCCUGCCCCUCACGGCCUCACCUCUGGACUGGUCUCCUCUCGGUGACAGGCAAGGCGGAGGCGACCCGAGCCAUGGACUCCGUCCCGCGACCCUGCCGACCGCCGGCUCGACGGUCGUCGCCCUGCCCCCAUGCCGACCAUGCUCCCCUGUGCGGCUGUGAUGCGCAGCUUCCGGCGAACCGCCACCGCAGCUGCUCCUCGCAGGCUCGCUCCCUGACCUCCAGGCUCCCGACGCCCGGCGCUUCCCUGCUCCCCUGUGCGGUUCCCUCCUCCCUGCCUGGUGGCUGGCUCCCUCUCCCAAUUCCCUAAGGCACCCCCAUAGGCCACCAUCUGUGAUUCUCUCCCAUCGGGCGGAGCGAUCACCGGAUCCGCGCCAUCAGGCGGCGCGGUCACCGGAUCCAACGCUAGCAGAGGCGGAGGUGGGCGGCGCAGAGGACUCCGCCGGCUAGCGCGGGACUCGGCCAGCGUAGUGGCCGGAAUCAGCGCGGACGCUCAACAAGGGUGCGUUCGCGCGCGUCGUGACCAGCAUCGAGAGGCUGCAGGUGCCCGGCGAGGGAGAGCUCUACAUGCCGCCCGGGGUGUUCUCGUGUGGCUCACGGGCCCCUUCAACCUCACCUCACGCACGACGCUCUUCCUCACGCGCGGCGUCGUCAUACGCGCCACGCAGGGCACACCAAGCUAGCCUCUAAUCGAGCCGCUGCCCUCAUACAAGAGAGGAUGAGAGCUGUUCGGCGGAACAUACAUAAGUUUAAUCCAUGGCAGUGGACUCCAGGAUGUUGUUAUCACAGGUUAUUCCUUCGCUGCUACUUAAAUUCCCAUAUAAAACUGUUAUGUCUAUUGUUUCAGUCAAAAUUUCCUCUUCAUUUUGUAAACAUGGAGCAAGCAUGAAUACAUGGCAGUGCUGUGACAGGAUAAGGAAGUUCAGUGCUUUGAAGAUACUAACAAGCCUAAGCAAUGCUUCCAUCAGUCCAUUUGUUCCUUAGGGAUGGAUGAAGAUUUGGAAGACAACUUAUUAGGACCUGAAAGGAGUGAAGAAGCCAAAGCGGCAUGAGCACAGUAUGAUCCACUUGCCUGUUCUUCUGCUCUACCCAGAGGUUAACAUAAAUGGCAGAGCCCCACUGCAUACAAGGAACUACAUUUCAUCUGAAAAUACUACUUGUCAGUCUACUUAGCUUAUUUACCAACAUCAACUAUUCGACGUUGAGUUCCUACUUCCUACCAGGCUAUCUAUGUUCCGGUGUGCUGGAGAUCAUGUCCUCGGCAUCUCCGAUGACUUCCCUGGCCUCCUCUCCACCACUAGAUGCUGCCCAGGUGGUUCCUGUCUUGACCACCGAGCUUCUGGUGAUGGCACCCGCAAGGUGUUAGACACUUGGUCCCUGCCAAGGUGCCCAUGUUCCAGUGUCUGCGGCCAACAAUGUACUCCCAUUCGCGGAUACUGAUGAAUCUUUCCAUAAGUAAGGUCGUUUCUCCUUCUCCCAUUUAAUAUCCUCGCCUUUUGUAAUUUUCCUUUGAAAUCUUUUCCUGCAUAAUCUUGAUGCAAUAAAGUUGGAGCUCAGAUAUUCAAGGAAAUGUCCAGGCAGCACUCAAAUUUGUGCUACUGGAAAAGAUUCAUGUUAUUUUUUCCUUGAUCUUACAGCGACACCUGAAUGAUAGAUUGAGUAGUUGUGCACUGGACGACAAUAGAAGAAGCACCUAACAUUUUAGUGACACCUUGAUUUUUUCCUUUGCUUCUUAUAUUUACCUUUAAGCUAUGGCUGCCAGUCAUGUUUUCCUUGAUGAAGUAGUAACCCUUAUCAAUCCUUUUUGGGCAUAUUUUGACCAUUUUAGUUCUUUUAACCCAAAAUGAUCUUCAUUAUUUAUGACCAGUCCCAGUCCAGUUUCACAUCACAAGCCAAAACUUCACAGGCGUGCAGAGUCAUGGUUUGGGGUUUUGUUUUAAAUAUAAAAAUCAUGGAUAUAUAGAUUAAUCUAAUAUUUGAUUGCUUAAAAAAACUGGAAGGAUUAAUUUCCACAUUGAGGUGUACGUGGUUGUGGUGGGAAGUGCUCUUGGAUUUCAUACAUGCAUGUUUGGUAGCAGUGUUAUAUGGAAGCAUGGUAGAUGUGCUGGUAGCGGUGACACAAUUCGGAUUUCCUCAUCGAUGUGUACAUGGAUAUUUGAUCAAAAUUUGUUCAAAGUGUGGAGUAUGUACUGAUUAUACAUCAUAUAUUUCUGAUUAUUUUUUUUGUUAUGAGUUCUUAACUUUUACUCCGCCA